rnacentral:tRNA from 2 species
GCCCGGCUAGCUCAGUUGGUAGAGCAUUCGACUCUUACAGGGUUUUCCGUUCUAAACUAGGAACUGGUAUCGAAUUGUCGUGGGUUCGAGCCCCACGUUGGGCG